rnacentral:rRNA from 1 species
AUUGAACGCUGGCGGCAGGCCUAACACAUGCAAGUCGAGCGGAGGAAGGGAGCUUGCUCCUGGAUUCAGCGGCGGACGGGUGAGUAAUGCCUAGGAAUCUGCCUGGUAGUGGGGGAUAACGUCCGGAAACGGGCGCUAAUACCGCAUACGUCCUGAGGGAGAAAGUGGGGGAUCUUCGGACCUCACGCUAUCAGAUGAGCCUAGGUCGGAUUAGCUAGGUGGUGGGGUAAAGGCCUACCAAGGCGACGAUCCGUAACUGGUCUGAGAGGAUGAUCAGUCACACUGGAACUGAGACACGGUCCCGACUCCUACGGGAGGCAGCAGUGGGGAAUAUUGGCAAUUGGGCGAAAGCCUGCUCCAACCAUGCCGCGUGUGUGAAGACGGUCUUCGGAUUGUAAAGCCCUUUAAGUUGGGAGGAAGGGCAGUAAGUUACUACCUUGCUGUUUGGACGUUACCAACAGAAUAAGACCGGCUAACUUCGUG